GACGAACCGAGCGAACGUUGUUCGGAAUCACUGGGCUUAAAGGGCGCGUAGGCGGGCUGUCAAGUCUGGGGUGAAAUCCCACGGCUCAACCGUGGAACUGCCUUAGAUACUGACGGCCUCGAGGGAGAUAGGGGCGAGCGGAACUGUGAGUGGAGCGGUGAAAUGCGUUGAUAUUCACAGGAACUCCGGUGGCGAAGGCGGCUCGCUGGAUCUUUUCUGACGCUGAGGCGCGAAAGCUAGGGGAGCGAUCCGG
rnacentral:rRNA from 1 species